CCCUCCAGUCAUUGGAGGGCAUUCAAAGCCCUCUAAAACCUAGCCUCCUACUUUUUCAGUCUUUUUACACCUUAUUCUAAUGUCCAGUGACGUUGGACUCUUUGUUGUUCUCUGCACAAGAUAUUCCCAUCUCCUGAUUCCAGGCAUUUUCAUGGGCUGUCUCCCAUGCCUGGAAAGCUCUCCUUCCCCAUUUCUACCUCUUGGCUUCCCUGAUUUUCUUCAAGUCCCGGCUAAAACCCCACUUUCUACAAGAAGGCUUUCCCAAUCUCCCUUAGUGCUAGGACCUUUCCUUUGUUAAUUCCUUAUCUCUUGUUUGCAUAUUGUUUCUUGCAUUAGACUCUGAGCUCCUAGAGAGCAGGGACUGGUUUUUUGGUUUUGUUUUUAGUCUUUCUUUGUACCUAGGAUCCCAUAAUGAGAUUAAGGCUGGAUCUCCAGAUUUAGUGGGUAUAUGUCUUUAUAGGUAUGAAAAUAAACUCUUGAGAACUGAUGAGAAUGCCAAGGGAGGGAGAAGAUGGCCCAGGACAGAGCUAGGCUGAAGCCACUUCAUUCUAUAUUUGGGGUUCUUAAUUGAUGUUACAGACCAUGUUAGGAGACUGGUGAAACUAAUAGGCCCCAUCUCAGAAUGUAUUUAAAUGCAUAUGAUAAAAUACAUAAGAUUCCAAAGGAAAUCGAGUGUAUUGGAAGAUUCCUCCUUGAUAUCUGCAGGGAGACUGUCAGGUUGUGGUAAGAAAAUCAAAGAGAAAAGAAGAUGAGGUGUGAGCCAAAGCCAUUCUUAUAGAGAAGCAGGUGCAGAUUAGGGUGAAGCCCAAGGUGGUGGCAGAGGAGAAGCAACCCUAGUGGCCCAGAAUGCCAAUGCCACAGAAGGUGUUUCAGUUGCUACUACACCGACUACUGAUUUGGAAGAAUCUCCGUUCCGAAACACCAGUAUGGAGGAUGUUCUGAAUUCAAGCAGAUUGUAGUGAUGUUCACUCUGGGAUGAGUCCCAGGGAAAGAAGGAAUGAGAAAAACUACGAAGGGAGAAAGCAAGCACUCAAGAAGAAAAGGACACAAAGAGGAGCACACAUUGUAAUAGCUGGCUCAUCUCUUCCUCUUCAUGGCCUUGAUCAAAGGAAUAACUGGGCUUGCAUAUGACCAUAAAACCAGCUUAUAACUUAUAUACGCAACUCUCACACCUGGAGUAGCUAGGAUUGGGAUGGAUCCUACUCUCCCAAAUGGACUAUAGAGUGAAAGUUGCUUCGAGGCAGCAGUCAGUUCUAAAUGUGAAGAUUGUAAAGAACAAAUAUGACUUAGGAGAAAAGAUACAAGAGGAUACUCCCAGCCUAUCCCUUUACAAAGCACUUCAAGCCACCACUGACAAGAAAACCCAGGAACCGGACCUGUGAUUUCAAAGAGAUGUAUGCAGUGCAACUCAAGUGAACAAAACUUUGAGCGUCUCCUAGGUCCCAGAUGCUGUGCUUGGUGCUGGGUACAGGAAGAUCAGCAGUGACACCUCAAGGAGGUUGUGUGCCUCUGGGCUGAAGGGAUGAGGAAAAUGCAAAACCACAGAAGUUGAAGACAGUUGUUGAAUGGCACACAGGUGGUAAGGGCUAAAGGCUCCCGCACCCAACCACCUGGCCACCAGGUCUGGAACAAGACCAAAAUCAAGGCCCAGACACAGGCCUCUUGCCAUUUGCCUUCCCAGCCUUGCCCCUCACCACCAAGUUCUGCCCAGACUACGAGACCUGAUGCCCCACCCCCAGAAACAGACAGAUCAGAACACUUAUGGCCACAUCAACCUUUAUCAAGUUGACAUUCAAAUGAAUUAAACAGAAAUUAAAGAUGUAACUUCAAAGAACAGAGAUAGGCUUUAGAAUAGAAAGUCACAUCCUGAGAGGGGGAGAGAGACACUGAGAGAGAAUUAGAGGGGUAUCAUGUCCCUCAUCCUUGGCAAGCUCAAGCGUCGGUAGCCUAGCUUGCCUCAUCCUUAGAUGGUGUCUGUGUGAUUUAGAUCUCCCCCCACAACCCAUCACAUUGGGACAGUGGCAGUGGGUGCUCCCUGUGUCUCUCCCUUAUAUUGUCCCUUGCAUCUUUUUCCCACCCUUGUGUCCUAGGGCUAUUGCAUCACUCUAAAUCUCUCUCAAAGCUAGGAGGAAAAAAGGCACUACUUUUAAGACACAACUCUUCAUUCUGCGGAUUCUGACAGGCCGAAGAGUUUUUGAUUCCUCAGCAUUCAUUACUCCAUUUCAGAGAUGCACCCAGUCACAUCCAUAAAGCAUUUUGCCAAACUGGAAGCCAUUAUUAUGUCCUUGUUGUCGUCUUUGUUGUGCUUAUUUCAGUCUAUGUCGGUUCAUCCAAGUCUUCCCACAUAUCCCUGAAUUCCUCAUAAAUUGUCAUUUUUCUUCUCAAUCAUAUUACAUUUCUGUACCAUA